rfam:Myotis lucifugus cont2.44051, whole genome shotgun sequence.
GCAUGGGGGUGAUUAACCUACUAACCCAGGGCUCGGCCGGGACGCUGUGGCGUGUGACGAGGUGCCUGGCCUUCUGCCAACCGACUAACCCACUAACCAGGCCCGAGCAUGUCCUACUAACCCCCCCGCAGCCAGACCCUACUAAUC